rnacentral:rRNA from 1 species
GAUGAACGCUGGCGGCGUGCCUAAUACAUGCAAGUCGAGCGAACGGACGAGAAGCUUGCUUCUCUGAUGUUAGCGGCGGACGGGUGAGUAACACGUGGAUAACCUACCUAUAAGACUGGGAUAACUUCGGGAAACCGGAGCUAAUACCGGAUGAUAUUUUGAACCGCAUGGUUCAAAAGUGAAAGACGGUCUUGCUGUCACUUAUAGAUGGAUCCGCGCUGCAUUAGCUAGUUGGUAAGGUAACGGCUUACCAAGGCAACGAUGCAUAGCCGACCUGAGAGGGUGAUCGGCCACACUGGAACUGAGACGCGGACCUGACUCCUACGGGAGGCAGCAGUAGGGAAUCUUCCGCAAUGGGCGAAAGCCUGACGGAGCAACGCCGCGUGAGUGAUGAAGGUCUUCGGAUCGUAAAACUCUGUUAUUAGGGAAGAACAUAUGUGUAAGUAACUGUGCACAUCUUGACGGUACCUAAUCAGAAAGCCACGGCUAACUACGUG